UCCAUUAAAGGUGUUAGAUAUAUUAUAUUUAGUUUAUAUUUAUCUUUAUCUUUUAUCUUUUAGUUAGUUUGUUAUUAUUUCUUAUUUGUAUUUUGGGCCUAGCCCAUAUUUCUUCUAUUAUAAAUAGAGAAGAACCUUAUGUGUAUUUAACACAAAGGAGAUUAAUCCCAAAUAUAGUUUUUCACUAUAUUCAACAAAAGGCAACCCAUGCCAAUACCAACUAUCUAUAUAAACUUGUAUCAACUUCCAUACUCCACCGUAGCUUCGGACCUGUCUCCCUUGUUGCUCAAGGCUUAUGAGUAAAAGCUCCAAGUCGCUCUCAUCUACACUAAACUCGGCAUGAGCCAAAAUCCUACGAGUGAGACAUUCAUCCCUUUAUACCCCCCUCGAAAGAGAUAAUGGCAGAACUCAAAUCUCACUCUCUUCUACUGCCCCUCAUGGACAAAGAGACUCAUCUCUUCCACUGUCUCUUAAAGACGAAAAGAUCCACAUUGCUACCCCUCACAAAAGGAAAGGUCAGCCACUAUCUUGGGGUUCUGACUCCAAUCACUAUGACCCAUUCACAAACACAACUUCAACCUUGUCCACAACCAUUAUCCUUAACCACAAUCACUAAUAACACUUAAUCACACAAAUCGAGAUAUUCAACAACAUUAAGUAUAUCACACACGUUAGAAGGAGUAUUAAAAAUAUCUAACCCCAC
rnacentral:lncRNA from 1 species